GGCCAGGAUCUGAAGCAGUGGUGUCAAGAGGCCUCUCAGAUGCUGGUUGAGCAUGAACAUGGCUGACACCACCUUUGUUUUUAAAUAAAAGAUUAAACGAAUGUUCUAAAAAAAACAGACUGGUCACCAGAAGAUAAUUGUUUCAGCUUUGUUUACUGUGCGGAGAGACUGCGAGAGAGGGAGAGAGAGAGAAGGAGUGCUGGUUGGUGUCCUUGGACUGGA